UUUUGUAUAAUGGGUCAGCGACUUAUAUUCUGUAGCAAGGUUAACCGAAUAGGGGAGCCGAAGGGAAACCGAGUCUUAACUGGGCGUUAAGUUGCAGGGUAUAGACCCGAAACCCGGUGAUCUAGCCAUGGGCAGGUUGAAGGUUGGGUAACACUAACUGGAGGACCGAACCGACUAAUGUUGAAAAAUUAGCGGAUGACUUGUGGCUGGGGGUGAAAGGCCAAUCAAACCGGGAGAUAGCUGGUUCUCCCCGAAAGCUAUUUAGGUAGCGCCUCGUGAAUUCAUCUCCGGGGGUAGAGCACUGUUUCGGCAAGGGGGUCAUCCCGACUUACCAACCCGAUGCAAACUGCGAAUACCGGAGAAUGUUAUCACGGGAGACACACGGCGGGUGCUAACGUCCGUCGUGAAGAGGGAAACAACCCAGACCGCCAGCUAAGGUCCCAAAGUCAUGGUUAAGUGGGAAACGAUGUGGGAAGGCCCAGACAGCCAGGAUGUUGGCUUAGAAGCAGCCAUCAUUUAAAGAAAGCGUAAUAGCUCACUGGUCGAGUCGGCCUGCGCGGAAGAUGUAACGGGGCUAAACCAUGCACCGAAGCUGCGGCAGCGACACUAUGUGUUGUUGGGUAGGGGAGCGUUCUGUAAGCCUGCGAAGGUGUACUGUGAGGUAUGCUGGAGGUAUCAGAAGUGCGAAUGCUGACAUAAGUAACGAUAAAGCGGGUGAAAAGCCCGCUCGCCGGAAGACCAAGGGUUCCUGUCCAACGUUAAUCGGGGCAGGGUGAGUCGACCCCUAAGGCGAGGCCGAAAGGCGUAGUCGAUGGGAAACAGGUUAAUAUUCCUGUACUUGGUGUUACUGCGAAGGGGGGACGGAGAAGGCUAUGUUGGCCGGGCGACGGUUGUCCCGGUUUAAGCGUGUAGGCUGGUUUUCCAGGCAAAUCCGGAAAAUCAAGGCUGAGGCGUGAUGACGAGGCACUACGGUGCUGAAGCAACAAAUGCCCUGCUUCCAGGAAAAGCCUCUAAGCAUCAGGUAACAUCAAAUCGUACCCCAAACCGACACAGGUGGUCAGGUAGAGAAUACCAAGGCGCUUGAGAGAACUCGGGUGAAGGAACUAGGCAAAAUGGUGCCGUAACUUCGGGAGAAGGCACGCUGAUAUGUAGGUGAAGUCCCUUGCGGAUGGAGCUGAAAUCAGUCGAAGAUACCAGCUGGCUGCAACUGUUUAUUAAAAACACAGCACUGUGCAAACACGAAAGUGGACGUAUACGGUGUGACGCCUGCCCGGUGCCGGAAGGUUAAUUGAUGGGGUUAGCGGUAACGCGAAGCUCUUGAUCGAAGCCCCGGUAAACGGCGGCCGUAACUAUAACGGUCCUAAGGUAGCGAAAUUCCUUGUCGGGUAAGUUCCGACCUGCACGAAUGGCGUAAUGAUGGCCAGGCUGUCUCCACCCGAGACUCAGUGAAAUUGAACUCGCUGUGAAGAUGCAGUGUACCCGCGGCAAGACGGAAAGACCCCGUGAACCUUUACUAUAGCUUGACACUGAACAUUGAGCCUUGAUGUGUAGGAUAGGUGGGAGGCUUUGAAGUGUGGACGCCAGUCUGCAUGGAGCCGACCUUGAAAUACCACCCUUUAAUGUUUGAUGUUCUAACGUUGGCCCCUGAUCGGGGUUGCGGACAGUGUCUGGUGGGUAGUUUGACUGGGGCGGUCUCCUCCUAAAGAGUAACGGAGGAGCACGAAGGUUGGCUAAUCCUGGUCGGACAUCAGGAGGUUAGUGCAAUGGCAUAAGCCAGCUUGACUGCGAGCGUGACGGCGCGAGCAGGUGCGAAAGCAGGUCAUAGUGAUCCGGUGGUUCUGAAUGGAAGGGCCAUCGCUCAACGGAUAAAAGGUACUCCGGGGAUAACAGGCUGAUACCGCCCAAGAGUUCAUAUCGACGGCGGUGUUUGGCACCUCGAUGUCGGCUCAUCACAUCCUGGGGCUGAAGUAGGUCCCAAGGGUAUGGCUGUUCGCCAUUUAAAGUGGUACGCGAGCUGGGUUUAGAACGUCGUGAGACAGUUCGGUCCCUAUCUGCCGUGGGCGCUGGAGAACUGAGGGGGGCUGCUCCUAGUACGAGAGGACCGGAGUGGACGCAUCACUGGUGUUCGGGUUGUCAUGCCAAUGGCACUGCCCGGUAGCUAAAUGCGGAAGAGAUAAGUGCUGAAAGCAUCUAAGCACGAAACUUGCCCCGAGAUGAGUUCUCCCUGACUCCUUGAGAGUCCUGAAGGAACGUU
rnacentral:rRNA from 1 species